rnacentral:rRNA from 1 species
AUACUGCAGUCGUACGCUUCUUUUUCCACCGGAGCUUGCUCCACCGGAAAAAGAAGAGUGGCGAACGGGUGAGUAACACGUGGGUAACCUGCCCAUCAGAAGGGGAUAACACUUGGAAACAGGUGCUAAUACCGUAUAACAAUCGAAACCGCAUGGUUUUGAUUUGAAAGGCGCUUUCGGGUGUCGCUGAUGGAUGGACCCGCGGUGCAUUAGCUAGUUGGUGAGGUAACGGCUCACCAAGGGCCCCAAGGCAUAGCCGACCUGAGAGGGUGAUCGGCCACAUUGGGACUGAGACACGGCCCAAACUCCUACGGGAGGCAGCAGUAGGGAAUCUUCGGCAAUGGACGAAAGUCUGACCGAGCAACGCCGCGUGAGUGAAGAAGGUUUUCGGAUCGUAAAACUCUGUUGUUAGAGAAGAACAAGGAUGAGAGUAACUGUUCAUCCCUUGACGGUAUCUAACCAGAAAGCCACGGCUAACUACGUGCCAGCAGCCGCGGUAAUACGUAGGUGGCAAGCGUUGUCCGGAUUUAUUGGGCGUAAAGCGAGCGCAGGCGGUUUCUUAAGUCUGAUGUGAAAGCCCCCGGCUCACCCGGGGAGGGUCAUUGGAAACUGGGAGACUUGAGUGCAGAAAAGGAGAGUGGAAUUCCAUGUGUAGCGGUGAAAUGCGUAAAUAUUUGGAGGAACACCAUUGGCGAAAGCGGCUCUCUGGUCUGUAACUGACGCUGAGGCUCAAAAACGUGGGGAGAAACAAGAUUAAAUACCCUGGUAGUCCCCC